rnacentral:rRNA from 1 species
UACGUAGGGUGCGAGCGUUGUCCGGAAUUAUUGGGCGUAAAGAGCUCGUAGGCGGUCUGUUGCGUCGGCCGUGAAAACCUGCAGCUUAACUGUGGGCCUGCGGCCGAUACGGGCAGACUUGAGUUCGGUAGGGGAGACUGGAAUUCCUGGUGUAGCGGUGAAAUGUGUAGAGAUCGGGAGGAACACCGGUGGCGAAGGCGGCAUCCUGGACCGGUAUUGACGCUGAGGAGCGAAAGCCAGGGGAGCAAACGGG